GACGAACGCUGGCGGCGUGCCUAAUACAUGCAAGUCGAACGCUGAAGCGCGGAGCUUGCUCUUCUUGGAUGAGUUGCGAACGUGUGAGUAACGCGUAUGUAACCUGCCUUGCAGCGGGGUAUAACUAGUGGAAACGAUAGCUAAUACCGUAUAACAAUGGAUGACACAUGUCGGUUAUGAGAAAGGCGCAAUUGCUCCACUAACACAUGGACCUGCGUUGUAUUAGUGAGUAGGUGCGGUAACGGGUCACCUAGGCGACGAUACAGAGCCGACCUGACAGGGUGGUCAGCCAGACUGGGACUGAGACACGGCCCAGAGUGCUUGGGGAAGCACCCGUAGGGAAUCUUCGGCCAUCAGUGCAAAACUGACCGCGCAACGCCGCGUGAGUGAAGAAGGUUGUCGGGUCGUAAAGCUCUGUUGUAAGGCAAGAAACGGUUUUAGACUGGAACGUUCACUCUGUGACGGUAGCUGAUAAGAAAGAGACGGCUAACUACGUG
rnacentral:rRNA from 1 species